AUGAGUCACUUGUUCUGGAACUGCCAGGGGGCGGGGAACCGCCGGACAGUUCGUGAAGUUGGGGCUCUUGUAAAAGCCCAUUCCCCGAGUUUUGUCUUCCUCGCUGAAACAAGACAAACCUGUGCAAAAAUUGAAUGACUAAAGUGGAUGAUAGGUCUUAAAGGAUUUUGUGGUGUUGAUUGUGAAGGCCGUGGUGGAGGCUUAGCUCUGUUUUGGGACGAGGCCUUCCAAGUCACGGUUUUGGAUUCAUGUAAGAGAUAUAUUGAUGUGAGCAUAAUUGACCAAGGUUCAUGGAACAGUUGGAGAUCAACAUUUGUCUACGGGGAACUCCGUGUUGAGCAUCGCCAGCGCAUGUGGGACCACCUCGUCAAACUUAGGGGCGUCUCUAAUCUGCCAUGGGUUGUUGGUGGGGAUUUUAAUGAGGCCCUCUGGCAACACGAGCACUUCUCAAGAACGAGUAGAUGUGAGAGUCAGAUGGAAGCCUUCAGAGACACACUAGAGGUUUGUGAGCUAGUUGACUUGGGGUUCUCGGGUGCACCCUUUGAAGGAAAUAUGCCCUAG
rnacentral:rRNA from 1 species